GCGCCCGUAGCUCAACUGGACAGAGCGCCGGGCUUCGAACCCGUAGGCUGCGCGUUCGAGUCGCGCCGGGCGCG
rnacentral:tRNA from 1 species